GAGCACAACAAGUGGAUCAUGUGUUAUGGCAUGCCCAUCCACCAUAUUAAUGGGGAGCAUAUUUCCAUCUCUGUCAAUGGUGUUUACAAGAGUCUCAUCCCCAUCCAGCCAUAUUUGGGCAACAUCAAGUCCUGCUUUUACCAGACCCCCUGGGUUGUUCCUUAAAUCCAGAAUGUAUGAAUGUACACCUUGUGUUUCCAUUUCAUGUAUUGCAUUUGCCAUAUCAUCAGCAGCACUCUGAGAGAAAUUUGACAGCUUCACAUAACCGGUCUUUAUUUGACGGCCAUCUGGUGUUCUAUGUGGGAUGAUAGAGCUGGCUAUUGGGGAUAGCUUAAUGUACUCACGAGGCAAUUUGACCUCUUUGGUACUACAAUCACUUUUCGAAUCUUGCACGCUGUGGACUUUUACUGUAACAGAUGUUCCAACUUGCCCUCUAAGCUUCCGUGCUGCAGCUUCACUAUCAAGACCAUCAAGCCUCUCCCCAUUAAUCUCAAUCAAUUCAUCUCCUUCAUGUAUGCCAGCACGAGAAGCUGGGCUACCCUCUACACAAGACAAAACAACCAAAUGGCCGGACUUUGGUUCAUUAUUUAUAAAAAUUCCAACUCCUUGCAAAUUACCAUCAUUUCCAAUUCUAAAACUCUGGUACUCCUGCAAUUUAGAAACUAAACCAUGUCAGCAUGAUUAUAGAUGUAUCAUUUCAAUAUAGAUCUUUUUGAAUAAAAAGAAGCCAUUUUUUGAGCAUAAAAAAUAAUGGGAACUAAGAAUGAAAAUGAUAUCAUUUUUGCCACGACUGUUGUUUUUCAGCCAGAGUUGCAUGCAGCUGCCAGCCUAAAUCAACAUAAAAUUGACAUGAGAAGAAAGAAUUAAAUGAUAAUAAUAAUUACUGUAACACACGUUUGGACUUAUAAUCCGAGUAAAAGGAUCCCCAAGAGUAGAAAGCAUUCCUUUGAUUUUUGUAUACGCAGCAUCUGCUGAAUUCAAAGGAAACAUUUCCACCAUAGUUUGCUGCAAUUUUAAAUCCCAAUCUUGAUGGUUAAAAGUUGGGUCCACAAAUGUUUCUCUAAUCAAACCCCAAGCCUCCACAAGCGUUCUUUGAACUGUAUUCACCUCCCGAGCUCGGGAAACAGGAAAAGCGACCGUUAAAGACUCAGCAAACGCGGGAGAGUCACAACAAAGCGAGGCUAGAGCUGCAGCGGCGGCGGCAAAACCAAUAAAACCUUUUCCGACGGAUCUGAUGAAAUCUGGAGCAUUGGAUUGGGGUCUGGACACCGUCGUCUUAGCGGUGUGAUGAGAGGAAGCACAGUAGAGGCUCCAUUUUCUGGAUACAUUAAGCCUAAUCGAGGUAGAAAUCCGAGGAGGAGAGAAGAGAGGCAGCAAAGCAGGUUUCGAAGGCGCCGUUGAGAUCGGAGAGAGAUCGAAAUUUGAGCACAGAGGCUCCAUCAAUUGUUUGCUGGGAAGGGGAAUUCAAUUUGUGAAGCAAAUUCAAAAAGUGAACUAGUUAGCAGCUUUUUUUUUUUUUUUUUUUUU
rnacentral:misc_RNA from 1 species